GUUUUUAACCACCUGUGCACUUUUUGUAGAUCUGGAAUACCUUUUGAGGAAACUCAGUUUGAGGAUUGCUGUGUGAAAGCCAGCUUUCCUUGCAUUUCAGGUUUAUGUUUUAUAUAUACUCCAAUAGAAUGUGAUAGAAUGUCAUUUAAUAGGCCUUUUGAGCCUUUAAAACAAAUACAACUUUCAACAACGGAUCUCUUGGCUCUCGCAUCGAUGAAGAACGCAGCGAAAUGCGAUAAGUAAUGUGAAUUGCAGAAUUCAGUGAAUCAUCGAAUCUUUGAACGCACCUUGCGCUCCUUGGUAUUCCGAGGAGCAUGCCUGUUUGAGUGUCAUGAAAUUCUCAACCCUUCUAGUUUUCAUUAGCUAGUCUGGCUUGGAUUAUGGGGGUUGCUGGCUUCUAAGAAGUCGGCUCUCCUUAAAUGCAUUAGCAAAAUCUUUGCUGACCAUCCCUUGGUGUGAUAAUUAUCUACGCCAUUGAGAAUCAGCUUUUAUAGAUUUAGCUUCUAAUAGUCCUUUCUAGGGACAACUUAUGAAAAUUUGACCUCAAAUCAGGUAGGACUACCCGCUGAACUUAAGCAUAUCAAUA
rnacentral:rRNA from 1 species